rnacentral:lncRNA from 1 species
UUGCUUUGAGUUCAAGAGAAAGCCACUUGUUGGAAGGGAAAAUAAAGAAAAGGAACGAAGAGAGAUAGGAGGGUCAAGUACCCUUGCUUGAUAAAUUCAGCCAAACCUGGUGGGCAUCUUAGUGAAUAUAUGAUUCCUGUCGGCUGAGUUGUCAAAAUUUGCAUUUAUUGAACCUAUAUAGCACGUAUUGCACACUCUUAAAGUGGCCAGUUGGUCAUAAGGUGCUUUUAUUUUUGUUCACAUUUUAUUUUUUUUGUGGAGGUAGAGACCUACUCUAAGAAGGACUUCAUGCUAAGGUUUACUUUUGGAGAAAAUUAGUAGUGGUGGUCAUGUUAGGGUGUACUGUGAGUUAGGAGUCAACCUGGAACCUAACCAAUCCUGAUCAGUUCUCAUUUUUCAGGAACCAGAACUGAGCCAACUGAUAUUGGACCCAGUUCACACCAACCAAGCUAAGACCAGGUUGGUUUUUAUUGGUGCUGGGUUACCAAAAUACUAAAAACAGGCACAUUUUUUUUAGUAUAUGAUUUCUUAUUCAACAUAAUUUCUGCUUAUUUUUUGUAAUACAAUUGUAAGUCAUUGUAUCAUUUCUUUCAUGAUGAUAUAAGGUUGGCAAUUUUCUACUCUUUACCAACUUGAACCCAUUUUGGAUUUGCACUCGAACCAAUUUGGACCCAUUGUGGAUUGAGUUUAUAGUUCUUUGUGUGAGCAUUGGGUUUCAAUCGAUUCUUUCUGCUGGAAAUUUUAUGUUGUAUGGAUUCAACUAAGCAGUCAUUACUUGAAGGCUUUGAUCUUUAACUGCCAAGUGGGAUCAUCCCAGCAACUAUACUUGCAGGGCAGCUCAAGUUGAUCAAGAUAUUGUUUAGAUCUUCUCAUUGGAACGACUGGAAACCCUCUUUCUCUAAAAUGAUGCUUGCCUCCAGAAACCCCUGCUCUUUGUCCCUUUCUAUUCAAUGCUGAUGAUUUGUCAAGCUUUGACCCUGCUUGGUCCCUUGAUAUUAGAUAUCUAGAAAUAUGCUCUCUCUCUCUCUCUCUCUCUCUCUCUCUCUCUCUC